rnacentral:rRNA from 1 species
UACGUAGGGGCUAGCGUUAUCCGGAAUUACUGGGCGUAAAGAGCGCGCAGGUGGUUGAUUAAGUCUGAUGUGAAAGCCCACGGCUUAACCGUGGAGGGUCAUUGGAAACUGGUCGACUUGAGUGCAGAAGAGGGAAGUGGAAUUCAAUGUGUAGCGGUGAAAUGCGUAGAGAUAUGGAGGAACACCAGUGGCGAAGGCGGCUUCCUGGUCUGUAACUGACACUGAGGCGCGAAAGCGUGGGGAGCAAACAGGAUUAGAUACCCU